AGGAGCAGCAGCAGCAGGAGCAGCAGCAGCAGGAGCAAGCAGCAGCAGGAGCAGCAGCAGCAGGAGCAGCGCCCUGAGAUCACAGCCCCACCUGGCCAGGGGGAAUUCAGUUUAACCUCAGCACACAACCCUAGACGGAGAGUGAGGAUUGAGCAUCGCGGAGUGAAAACGGCCUCAGAGAAGACCCGCUGCGAACCACCUUCUGUGUCACCAUCCUAGAGAGGUGAAGGAGAGGACAAAGCACUGGAUUUAAGGUGUUGUAAACAUCAACUGAUUGACUUCAGCCAUGCCAUCCCUGUGCCUCAGUUUCCACGUGUGGGGAAGGACGGCUAGUUCUCUGACUCACGGCCGUCAAAGCCCCAGCAAAAUGAUUUUGCAGCCUUCUGGACACACCUUAUCUCAAUGGUCUUCUGGAUCUGUACUUCGCUGACAUGCUUAGGAAUUCGCUCCUGCUCCUGCUCCACAGCAAACAACGGAGCCUCGCUCAGUUUCUAGCUGAGUCCAGAAACCCUGGAUCACUGAGUUAGCCUCCUGCCAGCUCUAGAAUGGCCACACUAGCACCAGCCCUGUUCGUCAUCCUGAUCCACCUGAUGCGCCGUAUGGAUACGGGUGCUGCGGAAGAAUGAAACUACUGAAGUGAGCUGCUCUAUCUUACAAGGUUGUCAGAAAGAAACGCUCUCUGACUUUGUCUGGAGGAGCCUGCAGUUGGGUGUUGUAAAAAAAAACGCUUAAAUGGCACCCGAUGCAGAGUUUGACUUGAUAACCAUACCGGAAGUUUCAUAGGUGAGAACCGUUUGGCUCAGCCAGCGAGGCGGACUUCUAGGCUAUGCUACUUCUCAAAACUGAGAUGUGCAUUUAAGGAAUGAUGAAGAGAACACUCCCACCAACUUCUGCACAGUCACAGUCUUACUUCGACUACAAAUAACCCAGAAUUUAAGAAGCACUGACCUGUCCAAGUGAGGUAAAUGCAAAUGAAAGAACUUGCAACUUACUCUGGGAUCAAAAUUACUCCUGCCCUGCAUAAGAAGGAACACCAAGGGGAUCGUGAUGUCAUCUGUAUUCUUUCCAUCACCAGCCAUCUGGAAAAGCGGAGCAGUAUCACUACUGCUCCCCUCAUUGUCAUCUAGCCAACAGAAAUGAUCAUGUGAAUGCACUUUAUUACGGGAACACCCCUUAUCACCUCCUACAGGUCCAUUCCAAACUGUGCUGGCCCAGCAGUCAAUACUACUCUGCCAAAAUAUGGAUGGGAAACAAUUUGAACUGCCCGAGGUGGUAACUGCUGUUCUUUCUGCUGCUGACUGGAGAGCUCAAUCAUUUCCUGCAUAAACCUCAAGCCGUCUUCAGCAUCCAUUGAACUUGCAGCCUGUGGAAAGAGGGGCUCAUUUUAUACUUUUUUCUCAUAGACUCUUUCAAAGCUGUGUUCUUGAGUGAAAAGGUCACCAAUCUAAAGGAACUGCUGGCUCUGGCGGAAAAGGCUCUGCUCUAUAUUUACCUAUUUCAUGAAUGCUAAUGAAGAUUUGCAGCAUGACUGACUACGAAUUAUCUGCAAAAAUGAUCAAUAGAGACCAUUUCUAACCUUAUCUAGGGACCAUCCUUGAAAAUACAUAUUUUCUAACUUAAAAAUUAAAGUUCCAUCUUACACUCUG